CCGUCCCGCGGCCGCCGCUCCCGGGGCGCCUCCUCCUCGCUGCUGCCGCCGCUGCUGCCGCCGCUGGGCCGGGGCCGCCGCCGCCCGCCGCCCUGAGGGCCCGGCCGCCGCCGCCCGCCGCCCUGAGGGCCCGGGCCCGCAGCGUCCCAGGGCGGCCCCGCCGCCUUCCUGCGGGGCAUGGCUGCGGGGCCGCGUCAGCCGCCGCACCGGCAGCGACACACAGACAGACAGACACCGACACACAGACAGACACCCCCAGACAGACACACACACACCGGGACACACAGGCGAGAGGUGCAGCAUAAAGAAAGCGGCGGCGCGGGGCCUUUGCACUAUUUUUGGUGGCGGUUCCUGUUGCAGGAAAAGAAAAAAAAAAAAAAAAAAGAAAAAAAAAAGCCGGAGUGCGGGCGAGCGGGACAAUACAAAACAGAACCACAUGGAUGGGCAGGAAAAGGGGAAAGGGAGAGGAGGCCGGAUCCCGCGCGGCCGCGAGGGAGCGGCCCCGAGCCGAGCAGCUCCAUCUUUAGGGCUGGAAGACUCCGGGCCAGCCCCGCAGCCCGGAGCCUCCCCGCCCUCCGCAUCCCGUGCGGCUUUGGGACGGGGAUCCGGGGCUUUGGGGUUUAGGGAGGGGGGAAAUGGGAUUUUUAUUUUUUUUCCUAGAGGAAAAGUGGGUGUAGGGUGUUGGUGGUAGGGGGGUAAUGCAUGGAUUCCAUGGGGUGUGCUCCCAAAAAAUCCAAAGUGAACGGAUUCUAUGGGGUUCGUUCCUAGGAAAUUAUGAGUGUAAGUAUUCCGUGGGGUUCGUUCCCAAGAAAUAAUAAAUGUCAAUAUUCCGUGAGGUUUGUUCCCAAAAAAUAAUAAAUGUAAGUAUUCCAUGGGGUUUGUUCCCAAAAAAUAAUAAAUGUAAGUAUUCCGUGGGGUUCGUUCCCAAGAAAUAAUAAAUGUAAGUAUUCCGUGGGGUUUGUUCCCCCCCAAAAAAAAGGUAGAGAUUCCGUGGGGUUUGUUCCCAAAAAAUAAUAAGUGUAAGUAUUCCGUGGGGUUUGUUCCCCAAAAAUAAUAAAUGCACUGACUCCAAAGGGUUUGUUCCCCCCUAAAAAUAAAUGCACGGAUUCCAUGGGUUAUGCUCCCAAAAAUCAUAAGUGCACAGAUUCUGUGGGGUUCGUUCCCAAGAAAUAAUAAAUGUAAGUAUUCCGUGAGGUUUGUCCCCAAAAAAUAAUAAAUGUCAGUAUUCCGUGAGGUUUGUUCCCAAAAAAUAAUAAAUGUAAGUGUUCCGUGGGGUUUGUUCCCAAAAAAUAAUAAAUGUAAGUAUUCCGUGGGGUUUGUUCCCAAAAAAUAAUAAAUGUAAGUAUUCCGUGGGGUUUGUUCCCCAAAAAUAAUAAAUGUAAGUAUUCCGUGAGGUUUGUUCCCAAAAAAUAAUAAAUGUAAGUAUUCCGUGAGGUUUGUUCCCAAAAAAUAAUAAAUGUAAGUAUUCCGUGGGGUUUGUUCCCAAGAAAUAAUAAAUGUAAGUAUUCCGUGGGGUUUGUUCCCAAAAAAUAAUAAAUGCACUGACUACAAAGGGUUUGUUCCCCCCAAAAAAUAAAUGUACAGAUUCCAUGGGGUGUGCUCCCAAAAAUCAUAAGUGCACAGGUUCUAUGGGGUUCGUUCCCAAGAAAUAAUAAAUGUAAGUAUUCCGUGGGGUUUGUUCCCAAGAAAUAAUAAAUGUAAGUAUUUCGUGGGGUUAGUUAAAAAAAUAAUAAUAAAUGCACUGAUUCCGUGGGGUUUGUUCCCCAAAAAAUCAUAAAUAAUAAAUCCACAGAUUCCAAAGGGUUUGUUCCCCCCAAAAAAUAAAUGUACAGAUUCCAUAGGGUUUGUUCCCAAAGAAUAAUAAAUGCAUGGAUUCCAAAGGGUUUGUUCCCCAAAAAAAUAAUAAAUAGUAAAUGCACAGAUUCCAUAGGGUUUCUACCCAAAAAAAUCAUAAAUAAUAAAUGCAGGGAUUCCAUGGGGUUUGUUCCCCAAAAAAAUCAUAUAUGCACGGAUUCCAAAGGGUUUGUUCCCAAAAAAAAAAAGUACAGAUUCCAAAGGGUUUGUUCCCCCCCAAAAAUAAUAAAUGCACGGAUUCCAUAGGGUUGUUUCCAAAAAAUAAUAAACGUACAGAUUCCAAAGGGUUUGUUCCUAAAAAGUCAUAAAUGCAGGGAUUCCGUAGGGUUUCCCACCAAAAAAUAAAUGUAUAUUUAGCCAAGGAUUUUUUCCUCUCCAGAAUUAAAUCCAGUUAUUCCAAUGGAUUACCCCCUCAAAAAAAAAUAAAAUUAAACUCACUUAUUCCAAUGGAUUUUCCCCCCAAAAUUAAAUUCACUUAUUACAAAUGGAUUUUACCCCAAAAAGUAAAUGCACAUAUUUCAAAGGGAUUUUCCCCCCAAAAUUAAAUUCACUUAUUCCAAGGAUUUUUACUCCCAAAAAAUAAAUCACAUCUAACCAAGGAUAUUUCCCCCCAAAACAAAAGCACAUAUUGCAAAUAUUCCCCAAGAAAUCAAUUUAUUGCCGUUAUUCCAAAGGUUUUUCUCACUCCAAACAGAAAUGUACACCUUAAAAAGUGGAUUUUUCCAGGAAAUAAAUUGAAAUAUUCUCUUUAUUCCA